AAAUACUUUUUGCUUAAAAACAUUUUAACUUUGAUUUUUAAAAAAACCUUUAAAGUUUUGAAAUCCCCUUACUCUUCUCUCUGCUCUUCGCCGAAAGGCCUAUGCCUAGGCCUUCAACCACCCCAAAAGUCGCCUGCGACCAGCGAAGCAGGGCUCUCAGACAGUGCGAGCACGAUGCGCGGUACGUGGGCGAGCACGCCUCUGACGUGCCGCGAGUAGUGCGGCCUUGGAGGCCCGAGUGGAGUGGGACGCGGAGGUCGUUGGUGGAGCGGCGGCUGUUGCAAGUAUUGGGGGUUAGGGGUUUUUUGUUGAAGGGUUUAGGUUUAAGUUUUAUUUUGGGGUUUAGAUUUGGAUUAAAAUAACUGGGCCUGUAAUUUGGACUGUAAAAAAACUUUUAUUUAUGUUUUUUUGUUUGUGGGUCUUGGGCCCAGAUUAAAAUUGGGCCCUACACAAAGAAAUUAAACCAUGCUCAAUCCAUUACUUUCUUGCAGGGAAAACUAGUCUUGUUUGUUCACAAAUUUGUGAAACUGCACAGGAUAUACAUGAAAAAGUUAUGUCAAAUGUUGAGGACUUUUUACAAACACAUGCUGGUUGUGAAUGUUGGACUCGUCAUUUCGGCUAUGUUGAGGCCGAAAGUUACUUGAUCAAUUCAUGUUGGAUGAGAUUGGCAAUACAGCGGGUUUUACAGUAAUUUACAUAUAUACUAAUUUUUAAUGUGGAAUGGAUUUAUCUCUUUAUCUUUUUAAUUCAUUGGAUAAUAUUUUUUUAGUGAUGUAAAAUAAUAUUAUUUAAAUGAUUAAAUAUAAUUAAAA